rnacentral:rRNA from 1 species
AGUGAACGCUGGCGGUAGGCCUAACACAUGCAAGUCGAACGGCAGCACAGUAAGAGCUUGCUCUUACGGGUGGCGAGUGGCGGACGGGUGAGGAAUACAUCGGAAUCUACUUUUUCGUGGGGGAUAACGUAGGGAAACUGACGCUAAUACCGCAUACGACCUACGGGUGAAAGCAGGGGAUCUUCGGACCUUGCGCGAAUGAAGGAGCCGAUGUCGGAUUAGCUAGUUGGCGGGGUAAAGGCCCACCAAGGCGACGAUCCGUAGCUGGUCUGAGAGGAUGAUCAGCCACACUGGAACUGAGACACGGUCCAGACUCCUACGGGAGGCAGCAGUGGGGAAUAUUGGACAAUGGGCGCAAGCCUGAUCCAGCCAUACCGCGUGGGUGAAGAAGGCCUUCGGGUUGUAAAGCCCUUUUGUUGGGAAAGAAAAGCAGCAGGUUAAUACCCCGCUGUUCUGACGGUACCCAAAGAAUAAGCACCGGCUAACUUCGUG